rnacentral:rRNA from 1 species
AGUGUAGGCGGGAUCGUAAGUUAGGAGUUUAAUGCAUGGGCUUAACCCAUGAUCUGCUUUUAAUACUGCGGUUCUUGAGUAUGGGAGAGGGCGAUGGAAUUCCAGGUGUAGCGGUGGAAUGCGUAGAUAUCUGGAAGAACACCAGUAGCGAAGGCGGUCGCCUGGCCCAAUACUGACGCUGAUGCUCGAAAGCUAGGGGAGCAAACAGGAUUAGAUACCCUGGUAGUCCUAGCCGUAAACGAUGGACACUAGUUGCUGGAGGAGUCAAUCCUUUCGGCGACGAAGCUAACGCAUUAAGUGUCCCGCCUGGGAAGUACGCUCGCAAGGGUGAA